rnacentral:lncRNA from 1 species
CUAGGCGGAAACUCUAGAUGGCGUUGACGUGUUCUAUGAUGAAGAUUAUGAGUGACAAAUGGGUGUUUGUUACGUUACCCUGUUAUGUGUUUCAAAGGAUUUUUCGUCAAAAAAUUUACGAUUGUUUUUUGUAUGUGGUGGUGUUUUGCCUUGUAAGCUUUGCCAGCUGCUGAACCAGCAGCCUGCAUUCCUGCUAUCCACACACACAUUCCACAUACCACAAGGGAUCCUGACAGUUCAAGAAGGCCAAUAUUCCUUACAUGAAGAUCACCAUCCAGUUCAAGUACUGGUAAUGGACCUCAAGCCUUUUGUUUAAGCUUAGUGAUGUGUUCUCUUGUCAAUCAAUGACAGAGUCUUCAUCUAAUUUGUGUUGCUAACCAUCAGCCCUCAGCAUUCCAGGUAUCCAGAUUUCCAAGUUUCUCUGAUUAGCCAACCAUCAUCCAUACCCUUCAGCUCUUCAUUGCGGCUUCUCUUCCUCUCUUCUUAGUCUGCUGAAUGCCAACAAUGAAUAAAGUUCAUCAUCAUUGCCUUUCCAUGAAAAUCUUCAUUGUUAAUCCUGCUGUUCUUCUGACCGUUACUUAGCCAGCUCACAUGGAUAGGCUUUAAUAACAUCUCCAUUUUUUGUACUGAAAAUAUUCAUCUUCCUUCGGUACAACACUGCCGUUUUGACAAUUUUGGUAGUUUCGCCCCCAGUGGAUCACACGCAACUACAUUUUCUUCGUCUUCCUGUCGUUGUUGUUAACGACUUCACCUCAUCGCUGUCUUCGUUGACGUCUUCGCCUUCAUCUCCGUCCCGUCGUCUUGGUCGUCUUCGCCUUCAUCUCCGUCACGUCGUUUUCGCCUUCAUCUCCGUCUCGUCGUCUUCGCCGUCUAAGUCUACGCCAUCAUCUCGUCGCCGGCUUCUCCUUCGCCCUUCACGUAGGGAGUUCACCGUGGAUCGUCGCUCUGGUAUUGUUUUAUUUUGCAUUGUUAUGUUUAAGUUAACCCGUUGGCUGCCACCCCGUUUGCGUCCCAUUUUUUUUGUAGCUUGUAGGGACCGGCCGCAAUGGCCUUCGCCGCAAGGCGCUUUAGGCAA